CCGCAUUUGUCACUUAAGUUCUAAAACCACGUAAGUCAAAAUUAGCAACUUUACUUAAUGGAUAC